rnacentral:rRNA from 1 species
GUCGAACGGUAACAGGAAGCAGCUUGCUGCUUUGCUGACGAGUGGCGGACGGGUGAGUAAUGUCUGGGAAACUGCCUGAUGGAGGGGGAUAACUACUGGAAACGGUAGCUAAUACCGCAUAACGUCGCAAGACCAAAGAGGGGGACCUUCGGGCCUCUUGCCAUCGGAUGUGCCCAGAUGGGAUUAGCUAGUAGGUGGGGUAAAGGCUCACCUAGGCGACGAUCCCUAGCUGGUCUGAGAGGAUGACCAGCCACACUGGAACUGAGACACGGUCCAGACUCCUACGGGAGGCAGCAGUGGGGAAUAUUGCACAAUGGGCGCAAGCCUGAUGCAGCCAUGCCGCGUGUAUGAAGAAGGCCUUCGGGUUGUAAAGUACUUUCAGCGGGGAGGAAGGGAGUAAAGUUAAUACCUUUGCUCAUUGACGUUACCCGCAGAAGAAGCACCGGCUAACUCCGUGCCAGCAGCCGCGGUAAUACGGAGGGUGCAAGCGUUAAUCGGAAUUACUGGGCGUAAUGCGCACGCAGGCGGUUUGUUAAGUCAGAUGUGAAAUCCCCGGGCUCAACCUGGGAACUGCAUCUGAUACUGGCAAGCUUGAGUCUCGUAGAGGGGGGUAGAAUUCCAGGUGUAGCGGUGAAAUGCGUAGAGAUCUGGAGGAAUACCGGUGGCGAA